rnacentral:rRNA from 1 species
AAUGGGUCAGCGACUUAUAUUCUGUAGCAAGGUUAACCGAAUAGGGGAGCCGAAGGGAAACCGAGUCUUAACUGGGCGUUAAGUUGCAGGGUAUAGACCCGAAACCCGGUGAUCUAGCCAUGGGCAGGUUGAAGGUUGGGUAACACUAACUGGAGGACCGAACCGACUAAUGUUGAAAAAUUAGCGGAUGACUUGUGGCUGGGGGUGAAAGGCCAAUCAAACCGGGAGAUAGCUGGUUCUCCCCGAAAGCUAUUUAGGUAGCGCCUCGUGAAUUCAUCUCCGGGGGUAGAGCACUGUUUCGGCAAGGGGGUCAUCCCGACUUACCAACCCGAUGCAAACUGCGAAUACCGGAGAAUGUUAUCACGGGAGACACACGGCGGGUGCUAACGUCCGUCGUGAAGAGGGAAACAACCCAGACCGCCAGCUAAGGUCCCAAAGUCAUGGUUAAGUGGGAAACGAUGUGGGAAGGCCCAGACAGCCAGGAUGUUGGCUUAGAAGCAGCCAUCAUUUAAAGAAAGCGUAAUAGCUCACUGGUCGAGUCGGCCUGCGCGGAAGAUGUAACGGGGCUAAACCAUGCACCGAAGCUGCGGCAGCGACGCUGAUGCGUUGUUGGGUAGGGGAGCGUUCUGUAAGCCUGUGA